GUUUCGCGUCCACCAUUUUUUUUUUUGCAGCGCAGUUCGCAACACAAUCAUUUAUAUUAAUUUCGAUUUUUCGAAGGUUUAUUUGAAACGGACAUCGAUAACACGGAAUUCUCGACUUUAAUGGAGUUGUUUUGUGCCGACAGUUUCCCGAUGGAAGGAGCGGCAGUUGCAUCUAUCCGGUCCGUUAUGUACCGAACCGGAGGCCAGUUUAGAAAGCCAGUGUGGUAGUAGCGGAUUGUUAUUUAUAUAUUAUUCGCUCGGCUACGACAGCCAGGAGGCAAAUUUAGAAAACCAGGAGGCCAAUUUAAGUGAUACCGGUUGUGCAACAAGCAAGAUUCUACCCGGUGCGAAGAAAGUGAUUUGUUAUUGUGGCUGCAUCCACCAGUGACUUGCUCUGAUCGCCAAACAAAUCCAUUCUCCACAACUUCGUUAGAAAAUCACUUGAACUAUGGAGGUUGAAAACAUUACACCCCAGAAGAAUAGCCCCAGAAACUAAUUACCACCGUACGCUUACUACUCACCUAUACAUCUGCGGUUUAAGGAACCAACGGAACCCAUC